rnacentral:lncRNA from 1 species
CAGACGCAAGAGCAGAUGCCUGGUGCCUGCACAUCUCAAUGGCAGCAUCAAGGGCAGGCACCACACAGGCCCCCUCACACCCUCUACUCCCCAGGGCAGCCUAGAGCACAGAAAGGACAGGACGGAAACAGGUGGAUGGAAACAGAUGAAACUGUAGCCAUUGUUGGUACUCUCUGCCCAUGCCCAUGCCUUCUUACUGGGCCUACACCGGAAACAAACCACACAGAGAGAUGA